AGUAAUCACAGAUGGGGCUAUAUUGCAAACAAGACUUCGGCCUAGCGCAAUUCAGAGAAAAUGGUUCAUUCUGAACAUAUUAUUACUGGAAAGGAGGUGACCAUCACCAAAUCUGCCCUUUUGGACCCAGCUGCUGCAGCAAAAUGAUCC